rnacentral:rRNA from 1 species
GGUUAAGUCCCGCAGCGAGCGCAACCCUCGACCUUAGUUGCCAGCAUUCAGUUGGGCACUCUAAGGUGACUGCCGGCUAAAAGUCGGAGGAAGUGGGAUGACGUCAAAUCAUCAUGCCCCUUAUGACCUGGGCUACACACGUGCUACAAUGGGCGGUACAAAGGGUCGCGAACCCGCGAGGGGGAGCCAAUCCCAAAAAGCCGCUCUCAGUUCGGAUUGCAGGCUGCAACUCGCCUGCAUGAAGCCGGAAUCGCUAGUAAUCGCGGAUCAGCAUGCCGCGGUGAAUACGUUCCCGGGCCUU